rnacentral:rRNA from 1 species
CGUAAUCCGGGUUGCGGACAGUGUCUGGUGGGUAGUUUGACUGGGGCGGUCUCCUCCCAAAGAGUAACGGAGGAGCACGAAGGUUAGCUAAUCCUGGUCGGACAUCAGGAGGUUAGUGCAAUGGCAUAAGCUAGCUUGACUGCGAGCGUGACGGCGCGAGCAGGUGCGAAAGCAGGUCAUAGUGAUCCGGUGGUUCUGAAUGGAAGGGCCAUCGCUCAACGGAUAAAAGGUACUCCGGGGAUAACAGGCUGAUACCGCCCAAGAGUUCAUAUCGACGGCGGUGUUUGGCACCUCGAUGUCGGCUCAUCACAUCCUGGGGCUGAAGUAGGUCCCAAGGGUAUGGCUGUUCGCCAUUUAAAGUGGUACGCGAGCUGGGUUUAGAACGUCGUGAGACAGUUCGGUCCCUAUCUGCCGUGGGCGCUGGAGAAUUGAGGGGGGCUGCUCCUAGUACGAGAGGACCGGAGUGGACGCAUCACUGGUGUUCGGGUUGUCAUGCCAAUGGCAUUGCCCGGUAGCUACAUGCGGAAGAGAUAAGUGCUGAAAGCAUCUAAGCACGAAACUUGCCCCGAGAUGAGUUCUCCCUGAGACUUUAAGUCUCCUGAAGGAACGUUGAAGACGACGACGUUGAUAGGCUGGGUGUGUAAGUGCAGCGAUGCAUUGAGCUAACCAGUACUAAUGAACCGUGAGGCUUAACCUU